rnacentral:lncRNA from 1 species
AACCCCACCCCCCCCAGUGCUAAAAGGCAGCGUGGAGCCCCAGCACUGUUAACUGCCUUAACUCCCUUCCAGGCCCGAGGACAGGCGCUUUCCUCGGUCUGAGGUGUGACAAUAACAAUGACAUGGGCAUCGCACACGUGAAAGCGCUGGACAAUAAACUGUGCUCUGAGGCCUGCUUACCUGGCCCAGAGGCCGCCAACAACAACGUGCGGCUGCAGCAGACGCCCCGGCCCCGCCGCCCCCCCGGCACCCGAGACCUGGAGCAGG